rnacentral:misc_RNA from 1 species
UCUAGGGAGCCUUUGGUCACUGUUUUUUGUCUAGUUGGUGGCUGGCCUUGCUUUUUGUGGGGUUUUGGUUUUCUUGUGGGCGUCAUUGUUUUUAGUUGGCAUGCUGUUGGGUUUCGGGGUAACACCUGGUUUGACUGCUUGGGCUGAUGGAUGCUUUUUUGGUGUUUGUUGGUUUGGUGUUGGUUUGGUGGUUGAGAAUUGUAUAGUGGACGCGAGCAUCUUUGGUUUUUAAUCAAUUUGUUUUGUUGUAAGUGUUUAAGGGCGUUCGGUGGAUGCCUUGGCACGCAUGGCCGAUGAAGGACGUUGUAGCCUGCGAUAUGCCUCGGGGAGUUGGCAAACGAGCUGUGAUCCGAGGAUUUCCGAAUGGGGGAACCUGGCUGGGGUUAUGCCCAGUUACCGGCAUCUGAAUGUAUAGGGUGUUUGGGGGGUAA